rnacentral:rRNA from 1 species
AGGGCGUACGGUGGAUGCCUUGGCGAUAUCAGCCGAAGAAGGACGCGGUAAGCUGCGAUAAGCUACGGAGAGGUGCAAGCAACCUUUGACCCGUAGAUUUCCGAAUGGGGGAACCCGGCAGUGGUUAUGCACUGUCACCCAUAGCUUAGACUAUGAGGAGGGCACCUGGGGAACUGAAACAUCUAAUUACCCAGAGGAACAGUAAUCAAACGAGAUUUUCUUAGUAGCGGCGAGCGAACGGGAAAGAGGCCAAACCGGAGCGGGCAACCGCACCGGGGUUGAGGACAGUCAUCAAGUGUAAAUGAGGUAGAAGAAUCGAGUUGGAAAGCUCAGCCGUAGAAGGUGAAAGCCCUGUAAUCGAAACCUUGCAUACAUGGGACUGUAUCCAGAGUACCACGAGACACGUGAAACCUUGUGGGAAGCAGGGGGGACCACCCUCCAAGCCAAAAUACUGAUAUCGACCGAUAGCGCAUAGUACCGUGAGGGAAAGGUGAAAAGAACCCCUGGCGGGGAGUGAAAGAGAACCUGAAACCGUAUGUCUACAAACAGUCGAAGUCUGUAUAUAUAUCAGGACGACGGCGUGCCUAUUGAAGAAUGAACCGACGAGUUACUGUUGCUAGCGAGGUUAAGUGGAAAACAUGGAGCCGCAGCGAAAGCGAGUCUGAACAGGGCGUUCAGUUAGUAAUAGUAGACCCGAAACCGUAGUGAUCUAUCCAUGGCCAGGUUGAAGCACAGGUAAAAUUGUGUGGAGGACCGAACUCGUGAGCGUUGAAAAGCUUUGGGAUGAGUUGUGGAUAGGGGUGAAAUGCCAAUCGAACACGGAGAUAGCUGGUUCUCCCCGAAAUAGCUUUAGGGCUAGCCUCGAGGUAGAGAGUAUAGGCGGUAGAGCACUGAUCGGGCUAGGGGCCAUACCGGUUACCGAACCUAGUCAAACUACGAAUGGCUAUACUUAUACUCGGGAGUCAGACAGUGAAUGAUAAGGUCCAUUGUCAAGAGGGAAACAGCCCAGAACACCGACUAAGGUCCCCAAUGUUACACUAAGUGGCGAAGGAUGUGGAAUUUCCAAAACAACCAGGAUGUUGGCUUAGAAGCAGCCACCAUUUAAAGAGUGCGUAAUAGCUCACUGGUCGAGAGACUCUGCGCCGAAAAUGUCCGGGGCUAAAGUGUAAAACCGAAGUCGUGUCAUAUGCAGCAAUGUAUAUGGGUAGGGGAGCGUUCUCAUCGGGCUGAAGCAGUACCGUAAGGAGUUGUGGACUGAUGAGAAGUGAGAAUGUCGGUAUGAGUAGCGAAAAGAAUGGUGAGAAUCCAUUCCACCGAAAGCCUAAGGGUUCCUGAGCAACGAUCGUCGUCUCAGGGUAAGUCGGGACCUAAGCCGAGGCGGAAAAGCGUAGGCGAUGGACAACAGGUUGAAAUUCCUGUACCGGUGUGAAUCGUUUGAUCGAUGGAGUGACACAGUAAGGUAGGUCAGCACGCGAUUGGAAGAGCGUGUUUAAGCAGGUAGGUUGAGCUAUAGGCAAAUCCGUAGCUCUAAAAGCUGAGAUGUGAUGACGAGUGACUAGCAAUAGUCGCGAAGUGAUUGAUCCUACACUGUCGAGAAAAGCUUCUAGGUAGAGACACAUCGCCCGUACCAAAACCGACACAGGUAGGCGGGGAGAGAAUCCUAAGGUGCGCGGGAAAACCCUCGUUAAGGAACUCGGCAAAAUGCCUCCGUAACUUCGGGAAAAGGAGGACUCAUGUAGUGUGAAGAGCAGAAGCGCUUGGAGCAUGAAUGAGUGGCACAAGAGAGGCGCAAGCGACUGUUUACCACAAACACAGGUGCCUGCUAAAGCGAAAGCUGAUGUAUAGGUGCUGACACCUGCCCGGUGCUGGAAGGUUAAGAGGAGGGGUUAGACUUUGGUCGAAGCUCUGAAUUGAAGCCCCAGUAAACGGCGGCCGUAACUAUAACGGUCCUAAGGUAGCGAAAUUCCUUGUCGGGUAAGUUCCGACCCGCACGAAAGGUGUAACGACUUGCGCACUGUCUCAACGAGGGACCCGGUGAAAUUGAAGUACCUGUGAAGAUGCAGGUUACCCGCGACUGGACAGAAAGACCCCAUGGAGCUUUACUGCAACCUAAGAUUGAACUUAGUUAAUGAAUGUACAGGAUAGGUGGGAGACGUAGAACCUAGGACGCCAGUUUUAGGGGAGUCGCUGUUGGGAUACCACCCUUUCAUUAAUUGAUUUCUAACGGGCCGAGUAACGACCGGCCGGACAGUCUUAGGCGGGCAGUUUGACUGGGGCGGUCGCCUCCAAAAGAGUAACGGAGGCGCCCAAAGGUUCCCUCAGAGCGGACGGAAAUCGCUCG